UGUUUAUGCAUGCAUACGCGAAUCAGGCAGCGAACGCAGCGGAGCCUUUUUCUGGCCGCUCCCGGUUGGGUUGCCGCGAAGGCUUCGGCCCGUUCGCAGGCAACGCAGCCUACUGGGCUCGUGGUGAAUCCUUCGCUCAAUGGUUACUUGGAUAAGUGCAUACAGGUGCAUAUAAUUUGAAGAAUUUUCCGAGUGGUGACCGCAUGGAUAGUCGCAGAUUAGUGCGUGGAACAAAGGUGAUGCAGUGCCCUGUUGUCCUAUUGAACACGAUGUAGGGAAGUGACGGCCGAUGUCUACGUCGACGAUGACAGCCACAAUAACAACAUCAACGGUCGUCGUCGUCGUCGGCGGCGAGACGGCAAAGGUCGGAGUGUAGAAUGUGAGAAGUGCGGUGUGUUUUCGCAGGCCUGCUCCUUGACCGUUUCUACGGGGUCAGCAGCGGAGAUGUUGUUUAUUUCGGGCCUCUGUACGUUCACCACAAUGGUGUGCAAAUCCGAGGGGUAGCGAUGGUGGCGAGAAGGGGUUGUGCGUGCGAACACCAGCAAGCAAAGGACGAACAGGAAGAGAAGGAACGCGACCCCUCUCGUGGUGUGGUGAAGGAUUUCUGCUGUUUGGCAGUCAGUCAGUCAGUCAAAAGCGGAAUCGUAAGAAAACGAAGAAGCGAGCGAAGUGGACACAGAACGAGUGAAAGGAUUGACCAAAACAAACAUUCGGACGCACCCUUCAGCACAGCCACCUGUCUGUUCGGUCAUGCGGCAGUGUUCGCCCGCUUCGCAGCAGACACGGUAUAGAGAACACGCGUUCGGAUUUCGGGUACGUCAGCCACAAUAACAACAAAGAGCAGUCGAGAUAUCUCGUUUUGGUCACCUGAUUCGGUAGAAACGGACCAGCGGCGGCAGCCACGGAAAACGCUGCUGUUGCUGAUAAUGUUGAUGGUGAUGAUCGUAUGAAAAUCGAACCGUUUGCUUAUUUAUGUUUACGCGCGAGCAUAACAACAGCGUCGUCCAGUCAUCCAUCCAGCGGAGCAAUGGCUGCAGCGGCAACAACGUUUCAGUGCUAAAUGAAAUAUCUGGACACCGAGAAUUUUUUAGUAAAUUUGCGAAUUUCGAUCCAGAGCAAUUAUAAGACAACCCUGACGAGCGGAUUAGGUUUCUCUCUGCAGACUUCAACAAUUCACCAUAUGUCUGAUUUGCCACGACAAUUUACAAACAGCUAGCAGCCUACAGUAGAAAAGCAUUAUUCAACCUUCUACGAUCAUCAACCAUGUCCAUGACCUUCAUAGCAUCUCCACUCCUGCACACCGUCAAGACUACGAACUGCAUGCCGAAUUGGACUACCCUUCGACACAUAAAAAAGGCACGGAUCAAAAGAAAGGGCUUGAAAUCAAACCAUUUGUAGAAUGCGCAAACAAAUGCAACCGAGCAUCGGAAAGACGAUGCUGGAAAUGCGAAUAAGAAAAACGCAAAGACGAAGCAGAAGAAGAAGAAAAAUGCAACAAUUAAGUUCCUACUCUAAAACAUAGAUAAAAAUAUACGUUAUAAACGAGAGUGUACUAAUGGUAACUGUAAUCUUAGGUCGCUAAAAUGAUUAACAAACCAAAAACAAAACAAUGAAAAUAAACUAACCAACCACACUGGAUGUGCAACGGAUUAAAAAAACAAGUUACGGCUCCGGAGCGACGCAAGUUCCGACCAGCUCGGCCCAUGCUUGGGUAGUGAAUCACUGUAAAGUUUAAGAGACUGAUCUGCGACCUCGGUGGGUGGAUGUACGAAAUUCCAUGAGCAACUUUCCAACCGCCCCCACACUGGCAGCACUGUUCCAUCGCAGCGGCAUUCAACGGAGAAUCGCCGUCACUGUAUUGCGAUCCCGGAGCGGUCCCUCGUUGCCAGCGUUGCGGGGCAGUGGGUUUGGGGCCUGGGACGAACUGCUGAAACCCAACGGGCGCAUCAGUUUUGCACCUCGCUUGCUCCCACUUGGGCCUGCGGCCGGACUGCGAGCUCGGAGUCGGCGGGAACUUGAGCGCGAUUAUGAUGCGAUAGUUUUUUGAGAGGUGAUUUGUAAUUGUAAAAUUAUUCGGAUUAGAGAUGCAAACUGUAUUACUGAGAAACGGAUUACUGUAUUUUAUGCAAAUGCAUUACAGUGAUGGAAGUUUUGUAAGGGCAAAGUGUAAUUUUUAGUUUCAGUAUGAAUUGUUAAAUGGAACCGAGUGAGGCGGAAUUCAGAUUCAAAUCUAGAACUGGGAAUAGAUCCUAAUAUUUCGUGCAUAGAUGCCAAGUUGUAGAAAGCGUAAUCCUAUAAUAUUAAAUAUGGAAAAGAGUAACACCUAGUAUUAACUGAUGAUACUUAAUGUAGUUGGCUUAAAGCUUUAUUUUAAAUAAAAUUCUCAUAAAACCUACAAAAAAAUAUAAAAAUAUAAAAACACAAAAAAAGAGUGCAUAGAUGGAAGUUAACCAAUUUAGUUCAGCUUAGUGUACUUUUCAACGUGCAAUGUUUAUACGAAGGUGACAGGAAUGGAAAAAAAUGCGAGGUAUCAACCUAAAUCAUCCAUUGACUUUGGUAAAACUCAAGCUUUUUUCCUGAAGUCGACAGGGAAAAGGUUUCAAGUUUUGUAAACUCCUAAUAUUCAAACCAGCAUUUAUAUUUAUAUUUGAGCAUAAGAAGGUGUAUGAUAAAAAUAAAAGUUCCUAAAUGGUCACCCAAUCGAGCAGUUAAAUGCAGCCGGGUGACCAGACUAUUAAUCUUAGUGUUUUAGAAUCGAUCAUGUAGAAACAAUAUGAAUGGCAUCAUUCAAGCUCGUGUCUCGCAGAAAUUGUUCCUCCAAAAUUAGUAGCAGUUCGUUUCUGAAUUUGAAUUCUGCACUCAUUAUGCGGUCCUGAUUAAGUUUCAUUUAAGCAUCGAUUAAAACUAGAAAUAAUCCCAAAGUCGCACUCUGGACAAAACAAUCAUUAAAAUUGGCAAAUUUCUAUUGUUGAGUUCGAUCCUUUUGGGCUAUUUAAAAAAUAAGAAUGAAAAACACUGAAAAACAAUGUACUCGCGUAAACAACAAUAAUAGAGUUUAGAGAUAUUCAGACCUUAAGGCAUUACUUUGAGCGAAAACUUGAGCAGAUCCUAAGCAAAUUUUGUUCCUACAAAAAACAAGAAAAAACCUAAUGAGCGAAAAAGGAAGAAAAACGAAAAGACUCGACAUAUCAUGAAUCUUUAAUUUUGUCCUCGCAAAAAUUUUUAGAACAUGACACAUGAUUGCACACCAGACGUGCGAAGAAACUAUACAGUUUUAAAGUUACUCAUUAUAGCUACUCACUCGAGAAGAAAGGUAAGAGGAAGAGCAAAACCUACACAACUAUUACGUAUAACAUAGAAAUGAAGAAACAACACAACAGCUGGUAUAUUCAUAUAUAUCUUAAAUCGAUGUUUCAGCUAGUAUCCACCAGAUGUCCCCUUCCCAAAUCAGACAGUCAAAAUACUCGCAGUUGACAGUUCUCUUGAAAACAAACAAAAAUACAAUACGGUUCUGUUUCCUAAAACUAGUUGUUUUUUCUCAAACACACACCAUGGUCAGGAGAUAAACAUUACUACACAAAAUUUGCAUUUAUACAUUUACAAACAUAACCCAAAAACUAAUACAAAGUUCCUGAAUGGCUGAUGCUGGGAGACGGCCAGCCUGAUUUGUUUUUCGUAUUCAUUUGUUGAUUUUGUUUAUGGUGUCGUUGGGAACUGUCAAAAUCUUCAAAACCAAGGGCCGCGGUUAGCGAAAGGAAUCGUAAACAUGUCACCACGUACGUUGGAAUUGAAGUUUGACAGUUCGCAUUUUUUUUUCUGAAUAUAAAAACAAUGAACGCACGUGUAGCUUAAUCUCAUCAUGUUGAUCGUUUGACCAACUUUGUCGUUGGUGAUUUUGACCGUACACGUGCUCAACUCAAAACCAUGUAAAAGUUCCUAUCGUAAGAAUGUUUUCCGUUUAUCUUUUCCCCAAAGCCCAUUUUAUUAAGUUUUAAAUCUUAUUUCUGUGCAAUCCUACUACAACGUUGAUCGACGAGAGUUAUUGAACGUAUACACUUGAACAAAAAUAAACUUGACAUGUAAUGCUGAUAAUACAUAUAUUGUUUAACAUACUACAAGAUGAGAAUUCACGAUCUGUGCAGGUAGCAGCUAGAUUUUGUCUGCUGAAGGAGGAGCGAAUCAGAAUUUGAGUGCGCUUCAGUCUGUAUUCCUUCAGUGCUAACCUAUUGCUAGAGUUUAAUGGAAGAGAACACAUACACACGUACAGACAAGUACACAGACACAGUCACACUCACACAAAACUAUUAUGAUUAUUAUUAAUAUUAUUAUUAUGCAAGUAAUUAUUAUCAUUGAUAUAUGAUUACUACAAAAUUGCAUCAGAACAAGAAGGCAGAACACAACACAAAACAAUUGUAAAAGAUAUAUUGUCAGAUGUAAAAGUAAAUGAAAAUAAAUAAUAAUAAAAACUUACUUGGUAGUCAAGCAAAUGAUAGUGA